rnacentral:pre_miRNA from 2 species
CUUUGAGUUUGUGAACGUUUUCAAUUUAGUCUUUCUGUUAAACAAACAUUACAAAAACGAUGAUGUGGCAGAAUGACUAAAUCGAAAAUGUUUACAAACUUAAAGACU